UACGGAGGGUGCGAGCGUUGUUCGGAAUCACUGGGCGUAAAGCGCGUGUAGGCGGCCACUUAAGUCUGGUGUGAAAGCCCUGGGCUCACCCCAGGAAGUGCACUGGAUACUGGGUGGCUGGAGUACCGGAGAGGAGGGUGGAAUUCCUGGUGUAGCGGUGAAAUGCGUAGAUAUCAGGAGGAACACCGGUGGCGAAGGCGUCCCUCUGGCCGGAUACUGACGCUGAGACGCGAAAGCGUGGGGAGCAAACAGG
rnacentral:rRNA from 1 species